rnacentral:rRNA from 1 species
UACAGAGGGUGCAAGCGUUGUUCGGAAUCAUUGGGCGUAAAGGGCGUGUAGGCGGUUUGUUAAGUCAUGUGUGAAAGCCCUCGGCUCAACCGGGGAAGUGCACUCGAAACUGCAAGGCUAGAGUCUCGGAGAGGAUCGUGGAAUUCUCGGUGUAGAGGUGAAAUUCGUAGAUAUCGAGAGGAACACCGGUGGCGAAGGCGGCGAUCUGGGAAGAUACUGACGCUGAGGUGCGAAAGCGUGGGGAGCAAACAGG